rnacentral:lncRNA from 1 species
CUGAUGAUGACGGACGAGCGACUGUACGCGCGACACGCCGGACGACGAUCGCCGUCCUGGCGAGAGUAGGCCAACGAAAUGCGCACAGGUUGCUCGGGAUGAUCGAGAACAAAUGCGGAAGUAAGGAUUCUCAGACGAGCAGACGCUAUCGCAAGCACCAGUGCCUUGCAACACGGCGCACAAUCGAGCCUUCAUCUGCGAAUUCAUGCGCGUGCCGAGGCUUGCGAAGAAACAGGCCGAUGGCCGUUAACGACUCCUCAUGGAAGAAAAGAAGAAACGAGAAGGAAACAAGAGGCAAGAAUAAACGAGACAACGUAAUCCUCUUAAUAAUAGGAGGAGAGAAGGCAGUUGAAUUGCACCCUUCACGAUUCCAGCGGCGCUGGCUAAAAAAUUCUGUAAAGAAAUGAAAUAAAAGUUCGAAUUGCGGCCGCCCGCCGAGCCCGCCGACUGAUGCACACACUGCAAUUACAUUUUACAAGUAAAUCGCGGCGCAGACAUUACGAUUGCGAUGGGGCCCGCGGUGCUGAGACUAUGUUAACUGCAACGUCGAGAUCACAGGGCGGAUAUGAAGUCAUCGCACUCGAGGCUACUUGAUUCGUUCCGUCGUGGCUUCCGCCGUCGUGGGUACGCUAAUUCGUUGCCUUUGGUGCGAAGAUGGAAUACAAUCCGGCCGCUGUGUAUGUACGCGUGCACGGUAUCCCGCGCGUAACGACUGCCUCUCUUUUAUACAAUGGCAACGAAUAAGAAAGUGACAAUUGGUCGAAUACAAUGAGCAGUUUCUCCGAUAAUGAUAGUGUUUUCAGAGACUUAUAAAUAAGCAAACGAGAUAUUCGAAUUUAAAUAAAGCUAUUGUGCGCACGCGAUCAGAAUAUUUUAACGCGGCCGCGUACCCAGUCCGGUUCCAGAGUGGAACAGGCGACAUCGACGCCGGCAAAUGAGCGGCAUUAAUGUUAUGUGUCUCUCUCCCUGUUAAACACUAGAUCAGCUUUCGCUCGCCGCGGGAAACGUUGAGAUAAACAGCGCGCAAAUGAAAGCGCAUGUCGAUUGAAUGAUCGUGGGCGAUCAAUCGGUGGUCAAAAAGUCCCGAAUACCAUUACGACACCAUUGGCAAUGCGAAUACCGGCUUCUCGAAAACGGCAACCAACGGCGGUGAUUCCCGAGAAGCCUUUCCCCUCGCCUUCGCGCGAAGAGAGUGAAACGCCAUAACGAGCACGCGUCGAAGAAACCCGUACUUAUGGCCUCUGAAUGGUUUCUUCACACAGGUGCAUGAUGUCAUUCGUAAUAGCGUCAUCGAGUCGCAAACUCGAAGCGCGAGGAUGCUGUUUAAGAGAGCGCACACCGAGAUAAUCAUCGAUUCUUCGGUCGACACUCUUUUAUCCUCUCGAAAGGAAACUCGAGAAAAUCGAAACAUACGAAAAUUUUUAUUCUUCAAUUUAAUGUUUUUUUUUAGCAAAUGUAAUCCGUAGGCAAUUUGUGGACUGCGUUAAAUUGUGAGAGUGCGUUGGAAAAUAUGAUUAAUUUGUUUGUCGGAAGUGACAAGUCGGAUUCAUAGAUUUCCCGGAGCGACAAUAAUUUGCGCGAUCGAUUAGCGAAGACCUUCGACUGCGAGCGUAUCUACCCCGCGGAGCUGACUAUUACGACUCGAUGUUUCUUCAAAUGAUCAUUUUACUACCGAUUCCACCUACGCUAUUCUGUUGAGAGCGAAAAACAUCGUGCUUGUGCGUAUUUUCAUGUGCUUGUGUUGCACUCAGCGCGUAAACAGCGCGAUCAGUAUCGGUACAUUCCUUUUAAAUGCAUAAAAUGUGCAUCGAGUUAUUCUUAUUAAAAUCUAGAUUAUCUUGGCUAGUAAUGAGAAAUCGUAUUGCGUCUAGCAGUAUCGCACCGAAUCGCAUCGCUGCGCAGAUCGGAGGUCAUGCAGCGUAGACGAGCAUGUGAAAAUUAGCAAGGCGAAUCGUUAAUAUUCACGCUGUAUCUCGAGAUUAGCGAUCGAUAAGAAUACCCCAGGACAUUGGCAUGUAGCCACGGAGAAAUCGUGAGCGUAAUAAAUCCCGAUUUUCUGGAGACGUAUUUCGUAAGACAUUAAUUAGAAAACGCUGCAAGUAACGCUGAUCGCAUUGCAACACACAUCGCGUCUGUUUUAUCAUAAAAUAUCUUUACCAUUUUAUUUAAAAACGCGUUGUAGAAUGAAAACUACUUGCGUAUUUAAGAAUUAAGUCGGACCUUAAAUCUGCACUUUUUUAAAUAAAAUUGGAUUAAGAAUAUAAAUACAAAUAAAAUAAUCAAACAACUUGCAAAUGAAUUUACACAAAAUAGACAGAUGAAAAAUGUAUAAAUUAAUGUUUUAUGAUUAAUAAAUUAAUGUUUUUC